UGGGGAUAUAGCUCAGUGGUAAAGCACUUGCCUAGUAUGCAGGACACCCUGGGUUCAGACCGCAGAACCUUAA
rnacentral:tRNA from 1 species